rnacentral:rRNA from 1 species
AGUGAACGCUGGCGGUAGGCCUAACACAUGCAAGUCGAACGGCAGCACAGUAAGAGCUUGCUCUUACGGGUGGCGAGUGGCGGACGGGUGAGGAAUACAUCGGAAUCUACUUUUUCGUGGGGGAUAACGUAGGGAAACUUACGCUAAUACCGCAUACGACCUACGGGUGAAAGCAGGGGAUCUUCGGACCUUGCGCGAUUGAAUGAGCCGAUGUCGGAUUAGCUAGUUGGCGGGGUAAAGGCCCACCAAGGCGACGAUCCGUAGCUGGUCUGAGAGGAUGAUCAGCCACACUGGAACUGAGACACGGUCCAGACUCCUACGGGAGGCAGCAGUGGGGAAUAUUGGACAAUGGGCGCAAGCCUGAUCCAGCCAUACCGCGUGGGUGAAGAAGGCCUUCGGGUCGUAAAGCCCUUUUGUUGGGAAAGAAAAGCAGCAGGUUAAUACCCCGCUGUUCUGACGGUACCCAAAGAAUAAGCACCGGCUAACCUCGUG